GUUGGCUUGGAAGCAGCCAUUCAUUUAAAGAGUGCGUAACAGCUCACUAGUCGAGGAGUUUGGCGUGGAUAAUAAUCGGGCAUCAAGUAUUUUACCGAAGCUAUGGGAUCAUUAAUGAUCGGUAGGGGAGCAUUCCACUCCGCGUCGAAGGUGAAGCGUGAGCUUUGCUGGAGCGUGUGGAAAAGCAAAUGUAGGUAUAAGUAACGAUAAAGGGGGUGAGAAACCCCCUCGCCGAAAGACUAAGGUUUCCUGAUCAACGCUAAUCGGAUCAGGGUAAGUCGGGUCCUAAGGCUCAGCCGAAGGGCGAUGCCGAUGGCAGAAACGGUUAAUAUUCCGUUACUACCUCCAGGAGUGAUGUGGAGACGCAGUAGUGACAAUGCCGCCAUCUGACGGAAUAGAUGGUUGAAGGGUGUAGAUGUUGAUCUUGGCAGGCAAAUCCACCAUGAGAAUCGAACCUGAUAGUAUGCCGCGUCCCUCGGGACAAGGCAAUAGUGCAUGUAAUCAUGCUGCCAAGAAAAUCCGCUAAACAAAAUCCUGUAGGUACCCGUACCGUAAACGGACACACGUAGUCGGGAUGAAUAUUCUAAGGCGCUUGAGUGAUUCACGGUUAAGGAACUAGGCAAACUGACCCUGUAACUUCGGGAUAAAGGGUCCCUACCCGGUGACGGGAGGGCGCAGAGAAUAGGUCCAGGCAACUGUUUAACAAAAACACAGGGCUGUGCUAAAUCGAAAGAUCCUGUAUACAGCCUGACACCUGCCCGGUGCUGGAAGGUUAAGAGGAGACGUCAUCGUUGAGAGAAGCGUUGAAUUGAAGCCCCAGUAAACGGCGGCCGUAACUAUAACGGUCCUAAGGUAGCGAAAUUCCUUGUCGGGUAAGUUCCGACCUGCACGAAUGGUGUAAUGAUCUGGACGCUGUCUCAACCGUGAGCUCAGUGAAAUUGUAGUAUCGGUGAAGAUGCCGAUUACCCGCGAUGGGACGAAAAGACCCCGUGAACCUUUACUAUAGCUUAACAUUGAAUUUGGGUAAUUGAUGUGUAGGAUAGGCCGGAGGCUUCGAAGCAGGUACGCCAGUAUUUGUGGAGCCGCUGUUGAAAUACGGCCCUUUGAUUAUUUGAGUUCUAACCCGCGGCUGCGGGGACACUGUUUGGUGGGUAGUUUGACUGGGGUGGUCGCCUCCAAAAGCGUAACGGAGGCUUCUA
rnacentral:rRNA from 1 species